rnacentral:rRNA from 1 species
UGGGGAAUAUUGCACAAUGGGCGAAAGCCUGAUGCAGCGACGCCGCGUGAGGGAUGACGGCCGUCGGGUUGUAAACCUCUUUCAGCAGGGACGAAGCGCAAGUGACGGUACCUGCAGAAGAAGCACCGGCUAAGUACGUGCCAGCAGCCGCGGUAAUACGUAGGGUGCAAGCGUUGUCCGGUAUUACUGGGCGUAAAGAGUUCGUAGGCGGUUUGUCGCGUCGUUUGUGAAAACCAGCAGCUCAACUGCUGGCUUGCAGGCGAUACGGGCAGACUUGAGUACUGCAGGGGAGACUGGAAUUCCUGGUGUAGCGGUGAAAUGCGCAGAUAUCAAGAGGAACACCGGUGGCGAAGGCGAGUCUCUGGGCAGUAACUGACGCUGAGGAACGAAAGCGUGGGUAGCGAACAGG